AUCUCUGAGUUUUUGGAUUCUACCACGUUCUCUUUGUCUAGAUGCUGGCACCCAAUGCAGAAGCCACUUUUGGCAUGCCCAGUCCAGCCACAGGCUGGACACAGAGCCACAACAAAUGUGGGAUUCAGGCCAGUAGCAUGAGCCAAGCACAGACUGCUUGGCUGAGUGGGCAGAGUGAACCUGGCAAGCCCUAGCGAAGCCCCAGGCAUAGGUCAUGUCAGUCACAGAAAUUUACAGCUGAUGUAGUGGCACCAAAGGAAUCCUGUAACACUGUAACCCUCCCUCCCACCUGCCAAGCAACAGAGGAGAAAAAGCCGCUGGGUGCCAUUCCUUCCUGCCCGCUGAACUACAAAAGCUGCAACGUUUCUGGGGACUCGUCAGGAUAGUCAGAAGGGUUGAUGAAUAACAAACUACCUUCAGCCUGCACUCCUCUUGAGAGCAUCCUGAAUCACUGGGACUCCUUUGACCCUCAGACUCUGGAAAAACAGAAACCACCUCAUAUUCCUUUGCACAAGGGUUUGGAUGGAUUAUGUACUACAGGAAGGAAGGCGUCCAGAAGGAAACGUUAGUUUUAAUACUAUCCUGCAGCUGGACCUUUUCUGUAAAUGUGAGGGCAAAGAUCCAAGGUCUCACAUGUGCAGGCUUUCUUUUCCUUGAAAGAUAAACUGGACCUUUACCAACAUUGUAGGAUUGUUUCAGUCCUCCUGGUGGCCAUGUCAGGAGUGGCUGCAAAGGAUAAUCCCAAGGGAUAAGGGAGGCAAAUCCCAGAUGUGUCUCUAGUGGGGGAGUUGGCUCCCUCCAGUCCUGCUUCUCCUGGUCCAUCCAGUCUUCCAUAUCCAGGUUUUUUCUCAAGCUUGCGCCAUCCUAGAAAUCCUCAUUUUAGGAACUGAAACAACUGUUGGAGGCUCAGCCCAAUGAACUAGGGUAAACUCUAUUCAACCCAGGGGGCUUAUUACUGGUAAAGGCACACCCUUCCCCUUCUCCUGUUCUAGGCCUGGAUUGGGAAGGACCUUACACUGUACUUCUUUGUACUCCAGUAAAGAUCACUGGAAUAGAUUAUUGGAUUCAUUACACUCGAGUAAAGGCCUGGGAAACUGACAGAAUUACCUCUGUCGAUCCAGAAGAGCACCCAAAGCACCAGUGUGAAGAAAUCGGAGACCGUAAGCUAAAAAUCACAAAAUGCGCCACCGCGUUCCCCUCAUCUAGAUGCUGGUGCCCAAUGCGGAAGCCACUUUCAGCAUGCUGGGUCCAGCUGCAGGCUGAACACGAAGCCACGGCGGUAUGGGAUCCAGGCCAGUAGCCCAAGCCAAGCGCAACCUGCUGGACUGAGUGGGCAGAGCAAGCCCAGCAAGCCUGAAUUAAGCCCCAGGCAGAGGGCACAGAGGCCACGGAGACUUCAGGCUGGCAAAGCAGCAUCAAAGGAAUACUGGAACAUGGUUACCCUCCCUCCUGUUCACCGACCAAUGGGAGAAAAAACGUCGCUGGGCACUAUUCCCUCCCACUCACUGAACAACAAAAGCUGCAACAUAACCAUAUCAGUGGUGAUAUCUUUUUGCAUUGGCCCUUUUGUCGCUAUGAAUUUUCCGUCUUUAAUUCUAUAAAUGCUUUAUCUGCUAAAGUCUACUUUAUCUUAUAUUACUGUAGUUUUACCAGAAUUCUUUUGAAUAAGGUUUGCAUGGCGUCUCUUUGUCCUUGCUUUUAUUUUCAACCUUUAGGUAGCUUUAUAUUUAAAGCAUAUUCCAUGGAAAAAGCAUUUGCUAGACUGUUUUUAUUUUUAAUCUAGAGGGAAAACGUUAGUAUUUUAUUUGUAGUAUUUAUUUUAUGUAUACCUUAUAUAAUUAUUAAUAUAGAUGAUUUACACUUAUUAUCUUACUAUUUGAUUUUAUUUGGACCUUGUGAUUUAUGCCACCUUUCCCUUUCUUUUUUGCCUUCAUUUUAAUUAAUCAUAACCAUUGUUGUACAUUUUUUCAUUAACUUCUUUUAACUUUUAUUUUAAUAUAAUUUUAGAUUAACAUGCAAUUGUAAGAAAUAACAGAUAGAGAACCCAUCAUAUUUUUCACUCAAUUAGCCCAAAUGAUAACAUUCUGUAUUACCAUAGUACUGUAUCACAACCAUAAAAUUAAUGUUGAUACAGCCCUUAAACUUUAUUCAGAUUUCACCACUUACAUGGACUCCUUUGUGUAUUUGUCAAUACAGUUUUAUCUUGUGUGUAUAUCAUGUGACCAUCACUACAGUCAAGAUACACAAACAGAAUCAUAGAAUAUGUAAUAUUUUGGAAACAGUUUUUUUUCCAUUCAGUAUAAUUCCCUAGGUAUUCAUCCAAGUUACUGUGUGUAUCAAUAGUUUAUUUAUUUUCAUUGCUGAAUAAUAGUCUAUGGUAUGUAUAUACCAGUUUGGUUCAUUGUUCACUUAUUAAAGGAUAUCUGGGCUGAUUUUAGUUUUCAUUUAUUGCAAAUAAAACUGCCAUGAACAUUAAUGUACACAUAUGCUUUCAUUUCUUUAGGAUAAAUGCCUGGGAGUACAAUUGCUUUAUUGUAGGUAGUUGCAUAUGUCCUGCAAUGAUACCUCUGUACAAUGAGGUAGUACUACUCAGCAAUAAAAAGACACAAACCAGACUGGAAAGGAGCCCAGUCUCCUACAUUUAUACAUUGUAUGACUCCAUUUAUAUUCUCAAAAAGACAGAACAAAAGUGAUGAAGAAUGAAUAAGUGGUUUUCAGGGACUGGAGUUGGUGAGAAGCUGGGGUAAGAUGCAACAUCUUGAAGUGACGGAAGUGUUUUAUAUAUUGAUUGUAGUGGCAGUUACAUGUCUGUAUAUGCCUGGCACAGCUUGCAGAAUCAUACACUAUAAAGGGUAAAUUCUGUUGUAUGUAAGUAAUUCUCAAUUAAAAAAUACAAGUAAAAAUCA
rnacentral:lncRNA from 10 species